rnacentral:ncRNA from 1 species
GAGAGCACAGUACGAUGAAAGUUGUAAGCUGUGUUCGUGGGGGAGUUAUUGUCUAUCGUUGGCCUCUAUGGUAGAACCCGUCGGGGAGGCCUGAGAGGCGGUGGUUUACCCUGU